CUUAAAACGACUAAAACUCUGUUUUUCUUUUCUUUCCAUGUCCGAAUAUGUUCUUCCACUUACGUUUUCAAGUCAAAAUUAUAGUUCUCAGUUCUCACAUCCUCUAAGACAACACAUAGAGGCAUCAUCACCCUUUAAUUAAAGAUGGCAGUGAAACGAGUGAAGCUUGAUUCGUGUGUGUAUUCGUCUAUGGCUUUCAUCGUCCGUCUUAAUCUCUAAGUAUUUAUUGUAUGUUAGGAUAUAUAUAAAUGAGAACGAAUGAUGUAGUUAUGUGUUUAUUAGAUGUAUGUAUAGGGAUAUUGUAUGCGUGUUGUGUUAGAUGUAUGAAUAUAGGGUUAUUGUGUG